rnacentral:rRNA from 1 species
CAAGUCGAACGCGAAAGUCCCGCAAGGGAUAAGUAGAGUGGCAAACGGGUGAGUAACGCGUGGGUGACCUGCCUUCGAGCGGGGGAUAACGUUUCGAAAGGAACGCUAAUACCGCAUGACAUCCUGCCUUUGAAGAGGUGGAGAUCAAAGCUGGGGAUCGCAAGACCUAGCACUUGAAGAGGGGCCCGCGUCUGAUUAGCUAGUUGGUGAGGUAACGGCUCACCAAGGCCACGAUCAGUAUCCGGCCUGAGAGGGCGGACGGACACACUGGGACUGAGACACGGCCCAGACUCCUACGGGAGGCAGCAGUGGGGAAUUGUUCGCAAUGGGCGCAAGCCUGACGACGCAACGCCGCGUGGAGGAUGAAGACCUUCGGGUCGUAAACUCCUUUCGAUCGAGACGAAAGACUUCCGGGUGAACAAUCUGGGAGAGUGACGGUACCGAGAGAAGAAGCCCCGGCUAACUCCGUGCCAGCAGCCGCGGUAAUACGGGGGGGGCAAGCGUUGUUCGGAAUUACUGGGCGUAAAGGGCUCGUAGGCGGCCAACUAAGUCGGACGUGAAAUCCCUCGGCUUAACCGGGGAACUGCUUCCGAUACUGGAUGGCUAGAGUGUGGGAGAGGGAUGCGGAAUUCCAGGUGUAGCGGUGAAAUGCGUAGAUAUCUGGAGGAACACCGGUGGCGAAGGCGGCAUCCUGGACCACGACUGACGCUGAGUGAGCGAAAGCCAGGGGAGCAAACGGGAUUAGAUACCCCGGUAGUCCUGGCCCUAAACGAUGAAUGCUUGGUGUGGCGGGUAUCGAUCCCUGCCGUGCCGAAGCUAACGCAUUAAGCAUUCCGCCUGGGGAGUACGGUCGCAAGGCUGAAACUCAAAGGGAAUUGACGGGGGCCCGCACAAGCGGUGGA